GACGAACGCUGGCGGCACGCCUAACACAUGCAAGUCGAGCGGAGAUUGAGAGCUUGCUCUCAUGAUCAGCGGCGGACGGGUGAGUAACACGUGAGCAACCUGCCUUUCAGAGGGGGACAACAGUUGGAAACGACUGCUAAUACCGCAUAACAUUGCCGAACGGCAUCGUUUGGCAAUCAAAGGAGCAAUCCGCUGAAAGAUGGGCUCGCGUCUGAUUAGAUAGUUGGUGAGGUAACGGCUCACCAAGUCGACGAUCAGUAGCCGGACUGAGAGGUUGAUCGGCCACAUUGGGACUGAGACACGGCCCAGACUCCUACGGGAGGCAGCAGUGGGGGAUAUUGGACAAUGGGCGCAAGCCUGACCCAGCAACGCCGCGUGAAGGAAGAAGGCUUUCGGGUUGUAAACUUCUUUUGUCAGGGACGAGUAGAAGACGGUACCUGACGAAUAAGCCACGGCUAACUACGUG
rnacentral:rRNA from 1 species